rnacentral:snRNA from 1 species
GCAUGUGAGGAACCUGGCUGCGACAUCUGUCACCCCAUUAUCGCCAGGGUUGAUUCAGCUGAUCUGGCUGGCUACGCAGGUGUCCCCUUCCUCCCUUACUACUCCAUGUGCGUCCCUCCCAAAGCUGCGCGCUUGGUCGAAGAGGACAGCUUUUCCCGAAUAGAGACGGACAGGG